AGUGCACAUUGUUAGAGCUCAGAAUUGAAGUGACUAACUGGCUGAGGAACUCAGGUGCAAGUUUUUCACUAACACUCCAUUCUGACCCCAUUAGUGAAGCUUGCUAGUUAUCAUUGCUACAGGC
rnacentral:snoRNA from 1 species